GAUGAACGCUAGCGGCAGGCCUAACACAUGCAAGUCGAACGGUAACAGGGAGGAGCUUGCUCCUUUGCUGACGAGUGGCGCACGGGUGCGUAACGCGUAUAGAAUCUACCUUGUACAGGGGAAUAGCCUUUGGAAACGAAGAUUAAUGCCCCAUGGUAAUGGAUAGUGGCAUCACUUUCCUUUUAAAACUUUGGUGGUACAAGAUGACUAUGCGUCCCAUUAGUUAGUUGGUAAGGUAACGGCUUACCAAGGCAUCGAUGGGUAGGGGUCCUGAGAGGGAGAUCCCCCACACUGGUACUGAGACACGGACCAG
rnacentral:rRNA from 1 species